rnacentral:rRNA from 1 species
UAGGGAAUCUUGGACAAUGGGCGAAAGCCUGAUCCAGCCAUGCCGCGUGAGUGAUGAAGGCCUUAGGGUUGUAAAGCUCUUUCGCCAGGGAAGAUAAUGACGGUACCUGGAUAAGAAGCCCCGGCUAACUUCGUGCCAGCAGCCGCGGUAAUACGAAGGGGGCUAGCGUUGUUCGGAAUUACUGGGCGUAAAGCGCACGUAGGCGGCUUUCCAAGUUGGAGGUGAAAUCCCCGGGCUUAACCCGGGAACUGCCUCCAAAACUGAAAGGCUAGAGUCCGAGAGAGGUGAGUGGAAUUUCCAGUGUAGAGGUGAAAUUCGUAGAUAUUGGAAAGAACACCAGUGGCGAAGGCGGCUCCCUGGCUCGGUACUGACGCUGAGGUGCGACAGCGUGGGGAGCAAACA